UCAAGAAACUUCCACAAUGGGCGAAAGCCUGAUGGAGCGACGUCGCGUGAUGGACGAAGUGCUUCGGCACGUAAACAUCUUUUUAUGUGGGAUGAAAUUAUUGACAGUACCACAUGAAUAAGGGGCUCCUAACUCUGUGCCAGCAGGAGCGGUAAUACAGAGGCCCCAAGCGUUAUCCGGAAUCACUGGGCGUAAAGGGUGUCGAGGCGGUUGUAUUAGUCGUUCGUAAAAUCUACGAGCUUAACCUGUAGGCGGCGAACGAAACGGUACGACUUGAGGUUUGGAGAGGUGCGUGGAACUCACGGUGUAGGGGUGAAAUCCGUUGAUAUCGUGGGGAACACCAAAGGCGAAGGCAGCGCACUGGCCAAAAUCUGACGCUCACACACGAAAGCUAGGGUAGCGAAGAGGAUUAGAUACCCCUGUAGUCCCUGAGCGGGCUGGCAAGGCGCAU
rnacentral:rRNA from 1 species